UACGGAGGGUGCAAACGUUGCUCGGAAUCAUUGGGCGUAAAGCGCACGUAGGCGGUCUCGUAAGUUGGAUGUGAAAGCCCUUGGCUUAACCAAGGAAGUGCAUUCAAAACUGCUUGACUUGAGUACCGGAGAGGGUCGCGGAAUUCUCGGUGUAGAGGUGAAAUGCGCAGAUAUCAGGAGGAACACCGAUUGCGAUGAGCAGCUCGCUGGAACGUAACUGACGCUGAGACGCGAAAGCGUGGGGAGCAAACAGG
rnacentral:rRNA from 1 species